rnacentral:tRNA from 1 species
GGAGGGAUACUCAAACGGCAAGAGGGCGGUUUGCUAAACCGCUAGUAGGGUCAUAAGGCCCUAGUGCGGGUUCGAGUCCCGCUCCCUCCGCCA